rnacentral:rRNA from 1 species
UACGUAGGGUGCGAGCGUUAAUCGGAAUUACUGGGCGUAAAGCGUGCGUAGGCGGUUCGUUAAGUCAGUUGUGAAAGCCCCGGGCUCAACCUGGGAAUUGCGGUUGAAACUGGCGAACUAGAAUCUGGCAGAGGGGGGUGGAAUUCCACGGGUAGCAGUGAAAUGCGUAGAGAUGUGGAGGAACACCGAUGGCGAAGGCAGCCCCCUGGGCUGAGAUUGACGCUCAGGCACGAAAGCGUGGGGAGCAAACAGG